UGCCUACGGGUGGCUGCAGGCGCGAAAACUUUACAAUGCGGGAAACCGUGAUAAGGGAACUCCGAGUGCCCGUAAACGCGGGCUGUCCAUCUGCUUAAAAAACAGGUGAAGAAAGGGCCGGGCAAGACCGGUGCCAGCCGCCGCGGUAAUACCGGCGGCUCGAGUGGUGGCCACUAUUACUGGGCUUAAAGCGUCCGUAGCUUGGUUGUUAAGUCUCUUGGGAAAUCUGUCGGCUUAACCGACAGGCGUUUAAGGGAUACUGGCAAUCUAGGGACCGGGAGAGGUGAGAGGUACUCCAGGGGUAGGAGUGAAAUCCUGUAAUCCUUGGGGGACCACCUGUGGCGUAGGCGUCUCACCAGAACGGCUCCGACAGUGAGGGACGAAAGCUGGGGGAGCAAACCGGAUUAGAUACCCUGGUAGUCGC
rnacentral:rRNA from 1 species